CCUACGGGAGGCAGCAGUGAGGAAUAUUGGUCAAUGGACGAGAGUCUGAACCAGCCAAGUAGCGUGAAGGAUGACUGCCCUAUGGGUUGUAAACUUCUUUUAUAUGGGAAUAAAAUGUUCCACGUGUGGGCUUUUGUAUGUACCAUAUGAAUAAGGAUAGGCUAACUCCGUGCCAGCAGCCGCGGUAAUACGGAGGAUCCGAGCGUUAUCCGGAUUUAUUGGGUGUAAAGGGAGCGUAGGUGGAUUGUUAAGUCAGUUGUGAAAGUUUGGGGCUCAACCGUAAAAUUGCAGUUGAAACUGGCAGUCUUGAGUACAGGAGAGGUGGGCGGAAUUCGUGGUGUAGCGGUGAAAUGCUUAGAUAUCACGAAGAACUCCGAUUGCGAAGGCAGCUCACUGGACUGCAACUGACACUGAGGCUCGAAAGUGUGGGUAUCAAACAGGAUUAGAUACCCCUGUAGUC
rnacentral:rRNA from 1 species